rnacentral:rRNA from 1 species
AGCAUGUUGUUUAAUUUCGAUGAUACGCGAAGAACCUUACCAGGUCUUGACAUCCCCCGCCGAUGCUUUAGAGAUAAAGCGGAGGUAUUCGGGGAGACAGGUGGUGCAUGGUUGUCGUCAGCUCGUGUCGUGAGAUGUUGGGUUAAGUCCCGCAACGAGCGCAACCCUAUUGCUAGUUACCAUCAUUAAGUUGGGGACUCUAGCGAGACUGCCAGUGAUAAACUGGAGGAAGGUGGGGAUGACGUCAAAUCAUCAUGCCCCUUAUGACCUGGGCUACAAACGUGAUACAAUGGCUGGAACAAAGGGAUGCGAAGCAGUGAUGUGGAGCGAAACCCAUAAAAACAGUCUCAGUUCGGAUUGAAGUCUGCAACUCGACUUCAUGAAGUCGGAAUCGCUAGUAAUCGCGGAUCAGAACGCCGCGGUGAAUACGUUCUCGGGGUUU